rnacentral:lncRNA from 1 species
UGGGGUGCCCUAAGCAGUUUAAAUUUUGUUUAUCAUGGAAACCAAUUUAGAAUUUAUUUAUGUGUUUAAAAGCUUAACAGUUCUGAAACAUCUUACACUGUAUGCUUAGCAAUUAAUGUUUCUGUUUCUUGUUAAAUUGCAUGAAAUAUUUGCCAUUGGACUUUCAGUAAACCAUAAAUGAAAACAUUUGAUAUAUUUUUCGGAUCAAAGCUCUUUAACGCCGUCCCCCCAGCCAACUUUUGGAUUAAGUUCUGUUGGAAAUUCUUUCAUUAAACACUUCAUUAAAAUAUUUGUCAAAGUUAGCAGUAAAACCUUAUAAUAAUUACUGAUAAAAACUUUUCUGUUUACUUUACAUGAGAAUUUUAUGAUUUUCAAGCCUAACAUGUAUAUAACAAGUACGCAUGUCUAGCCAACGGCUCUCUCAUGAAUA